rnacentral:rRNA from 1 species
AACGAACGCCGGCGGCAGGCUUAACACAUGCAAGUCGAACGCCCCGCAAGGGGAGUGGCAGACGGGUGAGUAACGCGUGGGAACGUGCCCUUCGCUUCGGAAUAUUCCCGGGAUACUGGGAGCAAUGCCGGAUACGCCGAAUUGGGAAAGAUUUAUCGGCCAAGGAUCGGCCCGUGUUAGAUUAGGUAGUUGGUGGGGUAAUGGCCUACCAAGCCUAAGAUCUAUAGCUGGUCUGAGGGGAUGAUCAGCCUCAAUGGGACUGAUACACGGCCCAGACUCCUACGGGAGGCAGCAGUGGGGAAUCUUGGACAAUGGGCGCAAGCCUGAUCCAGCCAUGCCGCGUGAGUGAAGAAGGCCUUAGGGUUGUAAAUCUCUUUCGCCGGUGAAGAUAAUGACGGUAGCCGGAGAAGAAGCCCCGGCUAACUUCGUGCCAGCCGCCGCCGUAACAC